UUACGUUAAAAAAUUCUGCUUCAAAAGACGUACACUGGCGAUUGCCGCGUUAAAGCGCGGCCCUAGUCUGCGUGCGUACGUGUCGGAGCCCGGCUGCCUGUACCGCGGGAUGGCGGGCCUCGUGUCGGUGCUCCCUUUGUUUGAGCAAGGUUGUCUGGCCUUAGCCUUACCUGAGCUAUUCGUAGGCAAACUUUUGACGUCCUGCUGAAGAAAUAAUUCACUUCUGGGAGCUAGUGAUUUCCAACAAAGCAUCAUAAUGAAAUCCUACGUUGCCGUAAAGCCGUAUUUCAAAGGCUAGGUCAAACUUAAAGGGACAGUCGCAUUCUCCGAGGUCAAUUUCGAAACUAAUGCGAAUUCUAAUUCCUUGCCGACCACUGAAAUGGGCCCGAAAAUACCAUUUCGAUCCGCGGCGUACUUUUCGCGCAAUCCGAUGAAAAGGAAACUGGAAUCCUUGCACCCUCGCUCUCUAAAAGUGGGAGCAAACGUCACCCGGAUAAGGCCAAUCAGCGCGCGCCCAGGGUAAAUGCGAGCCGCGCGCCUGUUUGCCGAUCGCGAAGCGAAGGCGAAGGUAGCAAACAUGGAGUCUGAAAACGAGAGUGAUGUUUCUCUGUCUGGGGGAGAUUCUGACGAACAUGUAAGCGGUAGCGGCGACGAGUUAAUGCUGGAUGAUGACCCAUACUCUACGGACCCAAUGCCUCUGGAACCCGCCGACCAUGCACGAGAUGUGGCUGCGGCUAACCCGCGGGAUGGCAUUUUCAGGUGUGUGUGUGUGUGGAGUCUGCGACCCACAGGAGCCCGACGAGCGCCUGUGUUGCCAUUCUGUUGCCAGGGUGGUAGAAAUGUGCAACAGUGCCGUCGUGCAGUGCAUAACACAACACCCAUUACUCAGGGACAUCUGCCUCCGUAGGGAGCUUCUAGUGGUGUACGCGCCUCAAUUCUGCCGCUAUGAUCAACAUUUUAGGCGACUCAAUCCCCAGGACCACAGGAGACCCCGGAACUAAGAAAGGAAUU